UACGUAGGGUGCGAGCGUUAAUCGGAAUUACUGGGCGUAAAGCGUGCGCAGGCGGUUCGUUGUGUCGGCGGUGAAAGCCCCGGGCUUAACCUGGGAAUGGCCGUUGAAACUGGCGAACUGGAGUGUGGCAGAGGGGGGUGGAAUUCCGCGUGUAGCAGUGAAAUGCGUAGAGAUGCGGAGGAACACCGGAUGGCGAAGGCAGCCCCCCUGGGCUAACACUGACGCUCAGGCACGAAAGCGUGGGGAGCAAACAGG
rnacentral:rRNA from 1 species